rnacentral:lncRNA from 10 species
AGACAACUUUGGGCCUGUGUGGGUUAGAGAUGGGCCUCGCUAGGCCGUGGGGCGGAAAGGCGAGAUGGGGCUACGCAGGCGCACUAGGACUCCGACGUCUGCUUUCCCUAGGGCCUAGCCGUAGUGAUUAUUUCCCGGCAGCCCCUAGUCCGUAUUUACAUACGCUUUGAUCUUGUUUUACUCAGUUCUGGGUUCUGACGCUCUUAAAGGACCCCGGAGCGGGAGUUAGUUAGGAGGGGUUUCCUUUUCAGUGUGCUCGUCAUGGUUGAGCUCAGGCUCUGAAGCCACACAACCCCAGACUUGAAUUUCCUCCUUUCUGGUGACUGUGGGCAGAAGGCUUGACCGUUUUCUGUGCCUCAGUAUCCACAUCUGCUAAAUGGAAACAAUCAUCGCUGUGUCGCUGGCUUUUGAACCAUUUUAAUGUAAACAAAACGGUUUUUACCAAUUAGUUCAUUACUGCAAGAUAUUAAUGCCACCUGCUCUCAUCGUACAUAUUCCAGUGAAUCUGGGAUAUAACAUUUUAUAAUGCAACUUGGGCCCAUAAAGGCCUUAAAAUCACCCUGCGGCCGGGCGCGGUGGCUCACUCCUGUAAUCCUAGCACUUGGGGAGGCCAAGGCAGACGGAUCAUGAGGUCAGGAGUUCGAGACAGCCUGGCCAACAUAGUGAAACCCCGUCUCUACUCAAAAUACAAAAAAAAAAAAAAAAGCCGGGCAUGUCGGUGUGUGCCUGUAAUCCCAACUACUUGGGAGGCUUGAGGCAGGAGAAUCGCGUGAACCCGGGAGGCAGAGGUUUCAGUGAGCCGAGAUCAUGCCAUUGCACUCCGGCCCGGGCGACAGUGCAAGUCUCCGUCUCAAAAAAAAAAAAAAAAAAGAAAAGAAAGAAAAAAGAAAAAAAAUGACCCUGCAAGAAAAGAGCUUUGCACAGAUCCUAAUCCGUAUAUUAGCUAGUAUACUGGACAGCUGUGAGACAUCUGGCUCCCAGCCCCUCCUCUCUCAUAGGGGAUUGUGCUGCCUCCUGAAUUUGGGUUCCAGUAUGCCAUAUAACUUGGCAAUUGUAUGCAUUGGUAAGUGAGAAAAAUGCCUGACUGAGAGUUGAAUCCUGGGUCCACCUCAGUCUGUGAGAGUGUUUCAGGCAAAUCCUGCUGAGGGUUCGGCUUUCGUUUUCUGAGACGUAAACCUAAUGCUGGAACUAGCCCUUUCUUAUUUGGUUUCUAGCUUGGAACUUGCUGCUUGGUAUUCCUAAUUCCCGGUCUUCCCCAUCAGUCGGUGUUAAUAACUCUGACCAAUGCCUCCCCCUUCACAGCCCUAACCAUUUUCAUCUAUUACUGUCUGGUGACAGGUCUGUUUCCCCCACUGCACAGGAAACACAGUAAAGGAAGAGACCAAGACUGUCUCAGAGAUCAGUGUGUAUCCAACAUUGCCCAGAGUGGGCUCUUGCAGAAUGUUUGUUUCAAGCAUUAGCCCUUCUGCCCUAAUCUAGACUCAAGGUUACUGUGACCAACCCUCUUCACUCCUGUCCACACUGAACAGCUCACAGGCCAUUCCCCUACGUCUAAGUCUCCCCUGGGCCAACUUGAAUCCUAGCCCCUCCUAGGGCACUUAAUUAUGACACACUGAGAUCUCACUGAAACCACCCAUGUGCUUGUGUAUAAACUCCUUGCAGCACUGGUAGUCAAGGGCAGUGGCUUUCUCUUUUUUUUUUUUUUUUUUUUUGAGACUCACUGCAUCGCCAGGCUGGAGUGCAGUGGCGAGAUCUUGGCUCACUGCAACCUCUGCCCUCUGCCUCCCAGGUUCAAGCGAUUCUCCUGCCUCGGCCUCCUGAGUAGCUGGGAUUACAGGCACGCGCCAACACGCCCAGCUAAUUUUUUUGUAUUUUUAGUAGAGAGGGGGUUUCACCAUGUUGGCCAGGAUAGUCUCCAUCUCUUGACCUCGUGAUCCACCUGCCUUGGCCUCCCAAAGUGCCGGGAUAACAGGUGUGAGCCACUGCACCCGGCUCUUUCUGGUUUUGGUUUUUUAUUGUUUUUUUGAGACAGGGUUUCACCCCCUCCGUCACCGAGGUUGAAAUGCAGUGGCACAAUCUCAGUUCACUGCAACCGACACCUCCCAUGCUCAAGCGAUCCUCCCACUUCGGCCUCCCAAGUACUGGGACCACAGAUGUGCGCCACUAUGCCCAGCUAAUUUUUUUGUAUUUUUGGUAGAGACGGAGUUUCGCCAUGUUGCCCAGACUGGUCUCAGACUCCUGAGCUGAGGCGAUCCACCCACCUUAGCCUCCCAAAGAACUGGGAUUAGAGAUGUGAGCCACCGCACUUGGCCUAAUAUUCUUUUUUUUUUUUUUUUUUUUUGACACAGUCUCACUCUGUCUCCCAGGCUGGAGUGCAGUGGUGCCAUCCGCCAUCUCGGCUCACUGAAACCUCCGCCUCCUAGGUUCAAGUGAUUCUCCUGCCUCAGCCUCCUGAGUAGAGGGAUUACAGGCGUGCACCACCACACCUGGCUAAUUUUUGUAUUUUUAUUUAUUUAUUUAUUUUUGAGUCUGAGUUUUGUUCUUGUUGCCCAGGCUGGAGUACAAUAGCACGAUCUCGGCUCACCACAACCUCCGCCUCCUGGGUUCAAGCGAUUCUCCUGCCUCAGCCUCCCAAGUAGCUGGUAUUACAGGCAUGCACCACCACGCCUGGCUAAUUUUGUAUUUUUAGUAGAGAUGGUGUUUCUCCAUGUUGGUCAGGCUGGUCUCGAACUCCUGACCUCAGGUGAUCUGCCCACCUUGGCCUCUCAAAGUGCUGGGAUUACAGACAUGAGCCACCACGCCCAGCCCUUAAUAUACUAUUUAUUUCAAUUCCGCAACCCUGCUGAACUGAUUUUCUGGUUGUGCCUUGUAGUUUGUAAAACAUUAGUCUAGGAGGUAAACAACACUUUUUAGCAUUGAUGAUGAGUAGGCCCAGGUUCUAAUCGUAUCUUUUCUGUGUCCUUGUCAAAGUCACUUCACUUCUCUGAGCUUGCCUUUCUUUAUUCUAUUAAGACAGUAAUAAUAUAAUUUAUUUAGCAAUUGUUACAGGCCAAGUUCUGUGUAAACACACUCCCACUGAUGCUAUCCUGUUGCUAUCUACACAGUAACCCUGGAGGUUAAAUGUAACAGCACAUUAAGGGCCUUGCUUGAGUUCCCAGGACAAGUUAAGGACAAAGACAGUAUUUGAACCCAGACAGUUUGAUACCAGAGCCUGUGCUCUUAACUCAACUCAUGCUAGAAAAUGGAAAAGUAUUGGCCCUACUUUUGUGCCCUAUGUUACUUCUGCAAAUGGCUUAGUUAUCUUUGGGGGGCCUCAAAGGCCAUCCUGGGCAACAUAGCGAGACUCUUUCUCUAUUUUCAGCAUCAAGGGUGAAACUUGAGGGCCACUUUGAAUCUUGUGGCAGGGCAACACAGCGAGACCCUUUCCAUUUCAGCAUCAAGGGUGAUCGAUCGAGGCGACUGGGCAUGGUGGCUCACACCUGUAAUCCCAGCACUUUGGGAGGCAGAGGCAGGUGGAUCACCUGAGGUCAGGAGUUCGAGAACAGCCUGGCCAACAUGGUGAGACCCCAUUUCUACUAAAAAUACAAAAAUUUAGCCGGGCGUGGUGGCAGGCGCCUAUAAUCCCAGCCACUUGGGAGACUGAGGCAGGAGAAUUCCUUGAACCCGGGAGGUGGAGGUUGCAGUGAGCGGAGGUGGCACCAUUGCACUCCAGCCUUGUCAACAAGAGCAAAACUCUAUCUCAAAAAAAAAAAAAAAAGAAAGAAAAAAAGUGUGAACCAGAAGAAAAUUCCCUACAACCUCACCCCAUUUUCUUCCAUCUUAAUCUAGUCUAUAAACUCUCUCCCCAUAACUAUAAGUAUGGACUGCACAUGCACUUUGCUGGGUAGAGGGGGCCGGUAACUUAUUGAAAGCUGUUCAAAGGUCUCUUGAUUCAGAAAAAAGAAAACGAUGAGGGAUCUUGCCCCAAGGGUUGGAGAGGACAUCUCCUCAAAGCCCCCUUCUGUGCCCAGGGAGUAGAAAUCAGGCCCAGGAGUCCAUUCCAAGGCUUCUCACAGAGGAGUCUCCUUAUCGAUGGCAACUGGACAAGCUGUGGGGACUAGUCACAAAAUAAUUUUUUUUUUUGAGAUGGAGUCUCUCUCAGUCACCAGGCUGGAGUGCAGUGGUGCGAUCUCGGCUCACUGCAACCUCCACCUCCUGGGUUCAAGUGAUUCUUCUGCCUCAGCCUCCCGAGUAGCUGGGAUUACUG